UCCCAGCCUCAAACAAUCCUCCUGCCUCAGCCUCCCAAAGUGUUGGGGUUACAGGCAUGAGCCACCAUGGCCAGCCAAGGCUUUCUACUUUUCAGCCAUCCUCAAGUAAAGGCCUUUCUCCACAACACUAAACCUGACCGCUUGCUGUCACAGCUUUUCUUUCACCAAGAGUCCAACUCAACUUUUGAUGAGGACCACUUCUGUUGCCUAGAACGUUCUUUCCUCCUGGAAGCAUCCUGAUUGGACACUGAGUGCUGAGAGCAUACUAACAUCCAGUCAAUCCCUUUGUUACGUCUAGACUAUAAGCAAUCCCCAAAUUCAGUGGCACCUUCUAUAUAGAUAAUAGUUCAACUGCAGAAAGUUCAGGCAUCUGACAGGGGUCAAUCGUGACUCCCACACUUACUGGCUAUGUGCCCUGAUCAAGUCUCUCAGCCUCUAGGAGUCUUGAGUUCCUCACGCGUGGAAUGACAAUCAUGGAACAUGCAUUCCAUGGGGAUGUGGUAAUGAAAUCAGACAAUGUCUAGAGAAAGACUUUCUUGUUUUGUCUUCAUACUCACUGCAUUCUUCUUUUUAAAAUGUUUAUCUCAGAAUUAGCUUUUUGAAAAGUUUAUCAUGUCUCCAAUCCACAACCUAUUUAAAAUAACAGAUAAAAUAUUGGAAAUGUUGUUUUUUUAAGGAUCUCAUAUUUCUAAGAUACAAUGCUUCUUCUCAUUCUGUAAACAUCAGUAGAAUCUAAUAAGCAAAACAUGGAAAGAGCAUAUCCUUUAAGUGUACUUUCCUUACAAUUUCCAAAUACUAUCAUUUUGACAUUAUUACAAGAUAUUAAUUAUUAAACCGAUGGAUAAACUGCUUUU